rnacentral:rRNA from 1 species
UACGAGGGGGGCUAGCGUUGCUCGGAAUGACUGGGCGUAAAGGGCGCGUAGGUGGCGCGGGCAGUCAACGGUGAAAGUUCGGGGCUCAACCCUGAAUCGGCCGUCGAUACUCCCGGGCUUGAGCACUGUAGAGGCAGAUGGAAUUCCGGGUGUAGCGGUGGAAUGCGUAGAGAUCCGGAAGAACACCGGUGGCGAAGGCGGUCUGCUGGGCAGUAGCUGACACUGAGGCGCGACAGCGUGGGGAGCAAACAGG